GGUCACUGACUCUCAAGAAGGAAGAGAGAACCUCACUCACCCUUCAGAAGCAGCUCUGGUCUAAAGGAACAUAGACCAAAACCUAAGCCAAAACAGAUGAUUUCUGUUCUCCGAAUGGAAGAACAACAUGAGAAAGGCAAGGAUACAUAUUGAAAAGGAACACCAUGACAACAGGGGACCAUGUUCAUACCCAAUGGGCCAUUGUCUGACAUGCUGGGGAAUCAAGCUGGGUGCACAGGGUGCCUUGAGGAUGCACAGCAAAAGUGCAGUAACUAUCUGGAGGUCCUUCUUUAAACACUUUUCUUUAAAAAGAGCAUUUUUUUUUCCUGUUCCAUUCACUGAUGGACCAAGCCAUUGCUUGUACUGGAGUAUGAGAAACCUCUCAAAGGCACAGGAGAGAUUCUGGAUUGGGAUGCAGACAGGCACAGCUCUCCAUAUUGCCAUGUUGCCCUCAUGUUACCACAGUUGGAAGCAGAACACUUUUUGCUCUGGUGGUGCGUGUGUGCAGCUGGGCCUGGGUAGGUCUCUGCCAAUGAGGACGUCCAGUGUACUUUCCUUCCCCUCUUCACCAACAGAUGGUGUCAGAGGGAGUCUCUUUCCUGCCCAAAGCCUUCAGGCCACAGCGCUUGUAUUUCCUUUUAAUUGCCUCUAUAUGAAAGACUACUGUAUUCUACAGCAUUUGUUCUUCCUGAGGCGGCUUGCAGCAGUGGCACUGCUUGUGCACAACUACAGCAUGAAAGCACAACUUAGGGCAAAGAUUUCAGUGUAUUCGUUUUCCACAUUGUGCAGGAGUUAUGUUCAGCGAAAAUUAUAUAAAUGUCAUGUACCAGCUCGUAUGUCAUUUCCACAGAAUGUUACAACUAUUCUGUUAUGUAAUAGUGAGCUAAUAAAGUCAAACCAAAACUCACUAUAUCACUUUCUACAUGAAGCCACCUCAUUUAUCCUUUUUCCCUUUAAUUUAAAUCUCAUCUCUAUUUCUACAUUUACCUUCCUAUGUAUUUCUAGCACAGCAUAUUCCCAACACCCUUCUUAUUUUACUGUGUGAUCUAAACAAUGCAGAAUAACAGGGCCUGAAAAUUUGGACUGGAAAUACCAUGAGAACAGGCUCUGUCAAGAGCUUUCCAGUAUUUCCUGCUUCUGGUUGAGCUGGAAAUACUCAAAGGGUGAAAUCCUGGCCCAGCUGAAGUCAAUGGGAAUUUUGCCAUUAACUUCAAUGGGGCUAGAAUUUCACUCUUGGUAUUUGCUCCAUGUAUCCAG
rnacentral:lncRNA from 1 species